AGUUUUUCGGUCGUGCUUUUAUACUUUCGUUAUUUGGUUGAAGCCCAUCUUUAUCAAUGCUAUUUUGUUAAACAUCGUUUUCCUUCCGUGUGUUGCAGUCGUCUCGAGUCGCUACUUUGGGGAUAUUGUUCGCGUAUCUGUUUCGGUAUUGUUGCGGUGCAUUCUCGUUUGUUUGUUUUUGCCGGUUGUUAUUGUUGUCGAGUGUGAGGCGACGGCGCAUGCCCAAAGAGCAAUGUGUGAAUGCGUGUGACAUUGAGUAUUUUGCGUGUACUAGAGUUGGUGUAUGCCCAAAGAAGCUUCUUUGCAUAAGGCAUCAAAAACCGUAGUGGCCACAGAUCAUUAUUGAAUAAAGCGAAAGCGCGAGUUUAUCUCCUUUUGUUGCAAUUUUUUCUGCUAAAAAAGUCGUGUGUUAUGUGUUUGUAGCGAAUCGAAAAAAAAAACAACAACUAAAAGCAAAAACAAACAAGCAACAACAAUAAUAAAAGAUGCACAUACAAAAAGGAAAACAAACCACCACCGAUGACUUAUUACAUUGAUUUGUGGUUCCCCGACGACGACAAGUGAUCUAUUUUUGUGUGUCUGUGCCUUUUUUCGGCGACUGAGUGUCCGUCCAUUUCGCUGCGUGAUUUCUUUCUGCUUUUUGCGGAGCUGAACAAAAGUGCUCAUUGAAGUCGUUGCACCACCAGAAACAAAAGCAACAGCAACGAUUUAACGAAAAAGUGCAACUGUUAUAAAUUUCGGGGUGUCUUGCAACAUAAGUGAACAACAAUAGCUGCAUUUUUUUUCUCAAACAGAAAAGAAAUUAGGAAAAAAAUGAAAUCCAAGUUGGGGCAACAACAUCAGCCCGAGUAACCAUCAUCAUCCGCCAGUGAGGAAAGUGUUCCCCGUUCAACAGUUGUCAUUGCACCAAAUGCAAUGCAACAACUGCAACACCAGUGAUAACAUUGUGGAAUUGUAGACUGAACCAAGCUAUACGCUCUAGCCUCUGGGUAGAGUGGCAGAGUAGCAUGCAGUACUGCAAUUUUUGCCCAGCACCACCAUCACCACCAGUACCGCCAACAACAAUUACAACAGUCACUAAAGAAUUGCCAACAACAUUUUUUGCAACAGUUGUAGUCGUUGCCGUCGCUUUAUUGUCACUGCAAUUACCACUAAAUACAACAAAGACAAACAGCCACAGCAACAACACAAACAAGCAACAGACCAAAUCUUCAAUUGUCUUCAUCAAAAUCAGUGCAACAACUGCUCAUUGAAAUCGGGCAACAGGCGGCAGCAAUCAUUAUUUUGUAAGCAGUUUUACAAUUUAAUGGUUUUCAUGAAUGGACUUGGGCCUGACCCUCUGCCAGCAAAGGAGGCAGAGGGCCCUCCCGUUCAAGUCGAACCU
rnacentral:sRNA from 1 species